rnacentral:rRNA from 1 species
UUGGAGGGCAAGUCUGGUGCCAGCAGCCGCGGUAAUUCCAGCUCCAAUAGCGUAUAUUAAAGUUGUUGCAGUUAAAAAGCUCGUAGUUGAAUUUCGGGGUCAGUAGGUUGGUCGUGCCACUGGUAUGCACUGGUCUCACUGAUUCCUCCUUCCUGAUGAACCGUAAUGCCAUUAAUUUGGUGUUGCGGGGAAUCUGGACUGUUACUUUGAAAAAAUUAGAGUGUUUAAAGCAGGCUAACGCUUGAAUACAUUAGCAUGGAAUAAUGAAAUAGGACGAUCGAUCCUAUUUUGUUGGUUUCUAGGAUUGACGUAAUGAUUAAUAGGGAUAGUUGGGGGCAUUAGUAUUCAAUUGUCAGAGGUGAAAUUCUUGGAUUUAUUGAAGACUAACUACUGCGAAAGCAUUUGCCAAGGAUGUUUUCAUUAAUCAAGAACGAAAGUUAGGGGAUCGAAGACGAUCAGAUACCGUCGUAGUCUUAACCAUAAACUAUGCCGACUAGGAAUCGGAUGAUGUUAAUUUUUUAAUGACUCAUUCGGCGCCUUACGGGAAA